rnacentral:rRNA from 1 species
GACGAACGCUGGCGGCGCGCUUAACACAUGCAAGUCGAACGAAGCGGCGAACGGGUGAGUAACACCUGAGUAACCUGCCUUAGACAUUGGGAUAGCCUCGGGAAACCGGGAUUAAUACCAAAUGGUCUAAGAUGGACUCGCGUACCAUUAGCUAGUUGGUGAGGUAACGGCCCACGAAGGCGACGGUGGGUAGCCGGCCUGGGAGUGGGAACGGCCACAAUGUAACUAAGAAAGGGUCCAAACUCUACGGGAGGCAGCAGUGGGAAAUAUUACCCAAUGGGGGAAACCCUGAUGCAGAAGCGCUGGGUGCGGAAUGACGGCCUUCGGGUUGUAAACAGCUAUCAGCCAUGACGCGGUAGUGGCAGAAGAAGCACCGGCUAACUACGUGCCAGCAGCCGCGGUAAUUC